GACGGGGGGGGGCAAGUGUUCUUCGGAAUGACUGGGCGUAAAGGGCACGUAGGCGGUGAAUCGGGGUUUGAAAAGUGAAAAAGUCGCCAAAAAAAAGUGGCGGGAAAUGCUCUCGAAAACCAAUUCACUUUGAGUGAGACAGAGGAGAGUGGAAUUUUCGUGUGUAGGGGGUGAAAAUCCGUAGAUCUACGAAAGGGAAACGCCCAAAAAAAGCGAAAGGGCAGCUCUCUGGGGUCCCCUACCCGACGCUGGAGCGCGAAAAGCGUGGGGGAGCAAACAGGG
rnacentral:rRNA from 1 species